GGGGAUUUAGCUCAGCGGCAUAAGCGCCUGCCUUGUAAGCAGGCAAUCACCAGUUCGAUCCCUGGUACCA
rnacentral:tRNA from 1 species